rnacentral:RNase_P_RNA from 1 species
GAAGCGGACCAAACGGCCGCGUCUUCGUCAUCCUCCCCUUGGGGGGGGAGAGGGGGGGGGGGAAGGAAAGUGAGGGCACAAGAGGGCAAGGUGCCAGGUAACGCCUGGGGGGUGUCACAGCCCACGACCAGUGCAACAGAGAGCAAACCGCCGAUGGCCCGCGCAAGCGGGAUCAGGUAAGGGUGAAAGGGUGCGGUAAGAGCGCACCGCGCGGCUGGUAACAGUCCGCGGCACGGUAAACUCCACCCGGAGCAAGGCCAAAUAGGGGUUCAUAAGGUACGGCCCGUACUGAACCCGGGUAGGCUGCUUGAGCCAGUGAGCGAUUGCUGGCCUAGAUGAAUGACUGUCCACGACAGAACCCGGCUUAUCGGUCAGUUUCACCU